CGAGCGAAGGGGAUAGGAGUUUCUUCUUAACCUUAGCGGCGGACGGGUGAAUAACACGUGGGUAAUCUCCCCUGGAGAGGGGGGAUAACAGGUCGAAAGGCCUUGCUAAUACCGCAUAACGGUAAAGAUGCUGCAUGGGCGUCUUAGCCAAAGGUUUAAUUCCGCUCAAAGGAUGAGCCCCGGGGCCCAUUAGCUAGUUGGUGAGGUAACCGGCUCCCCCAAGGCAACGAUGGGGUACCCGGCCUGAAGAGGGUGUUCGGCCACACUGGGAUGAGACACGGCCCAGACUCCUACGGGAGGCAGCAGUGGGGAAUAUUGCGCAAUGGGGGAAACCCUGACGCAGGGACACCGCGUGAGCGAUGAAGGCCUUCGGGUUGUAAAGCUCUGUCUUCCCUGACGAUAAUGACGGUAAGGGAGGAGGAAGCCACGGCUAACUACGUGCCAGCAGCCGCGGUAAUACGUAGGUGGCAAGCGUUGUCCGGAAUUAUUGGGCGUAAAGGGUGCGUAGGCGGCUCUUUAAGUGGGAUGUGAAAUCCCUAGGCUCAACCUAGGAACUGCAUUCCAAACUGGAGAGCUAGAGUGCAGGAGAGGAAAGCGGAAUUCCCAGUGUAGCGGUGAAAUGCGUAGAGAUUGGGAGGAACACCAGUGGCGAAGGCGGCUUUCUGGACUGUAACUGACGCUGAGGCACGAAAGCGUGGGGAGCCAAACAGGAUUAGAUACCCUGGUAGUCCAAAGCAAU
rnacentral:rRNA from 1 species